UACACUCCUACGGGAGGCAGCAGUGGGGAAUUUUGGACAAUGGGCGAAAGCCUGAUCCAGCAAUGCCGCGUGAGUGAAGAAGGCCUUCGGGUUGUAAAGCUCUUUUGUCAGGGAAGAAACGGUGAGAGCUAAUAUCUUUUGCUAAUGACGGUACCUGAAGAAUAAGCACCGGCUAACUACGUGCCAGCAGCCGCGGUAAUACGUAGGGUGCAAGCGUUAAUCGGAAUUACUGGGCGUAAAGCGUGCGCAGGCGGUUUUGUAAGUCUGAUGUGAAAUCCCCGGGCUCAACCUGGGAAUUGCAUUGGAGACUGCAAGGCUAGAAUCUGGCAGAGGGGGGUAGAAUUCCACGUGUAGCAGUGAAAUGCGUAGAUAUGUGGAGGAACACCGAUGGCGAAGGCAGCCCCCUGGGUCAAGAUUGACGCUCAUGCACGAAAGCGUGGGGAGCAAACAGGAUUAGAAACCCUUGUAGUCCC
rnacentral:rRNA from 1 species